CACUUUGUUACCUUAUCACACCAUAUAAUGUUCAGACAGAUGAGAAUCUGGGCUUUCACUCACACAAACACUUGGACAUGAAAACCUUGCUAUUGCCAACUUGUUCAGUCGUAUCCUCGUAUUUGAUGGCUUUUGUAAAGCCUCUGUCCUGGGAGACCUGUGAAUAUACCAGAGUCUCAACUUUCAGUUUUUUUCAGAAGACAUUUUGUAGCCCUCACGGUUACAGGGAACAGCUGAAAACCCAGAAACGCCAAUAGCACAAAGAGGAGGAGGCAGAGAAUAAGAACUGCUUUGUUAUGAUGCAAAGAAACAGACAUUUGUUGGGUUUUAAGGCAGACUUGGGGCAUGGAGUUGGCAGAGGAGAGGGAACACAGCCUGGGACCCACUGCAGCACCUCCCUGAGGCUCCUCUGGACAGCUUUAGAGCUCCUUUGGGCUCCUUUAGAGCUUCUCUGGAGUCCUUUGGGCUCCUUGCAGCUUCUUUGGGCUCCUUUGGAUACCUUUGGAGCUCCUUGGAGAUCCUUUGGUCUUUUUUGGAUUCCUUUGGAGCUCCCUUGGGCUCCUCUGCAGCUCCCAGUGCGGGCUCUUGCCCAGACACCCUUCACCGUGCUCUCCAGACAUCCCCAUUUCCACCCUGUUUUUCAACUUGUUACAAAAACUAAAGAUGCAUUGUAUGUACUGGACUGCCUUUGCCAAGAUAAAUAAACCCAUAGAUGCUUUUUUUUCCAGGCAUUCACAGUCAAAUGAACGUGAAUAUUAACAGCCACUCCAUUAGACCCAAACUUUGGUGAGAUAAUAAGAGAGAACGACUCCGUAACCCCGCGCCUUCAAUCACGCGCGUAAUGCGCUCCUGUCUGUCUGCUGCUUUUCAUCCAAAAGCACGGGAAUCUGUGUGAAGUAAUAAUAUCUGAAGUGUUUCUUAAGAAGCAGAACCUGUCCCUAGGAAAACAUUCUCCUGACAAAGAAAUGUCUGCGUUGCAGAGCCUCCGUGAGUUACAGCUCUUUUCUCCCAUCGCUGGGCCUGUGGCCACUCCUGUAGGUCCGCUUUGCUCAGAGGCCGUUGUGGUGGGCUGUUGUUCCCAUGUCUCUGAAGUCCUCGUGCCCACCUCCUCCAUCCUUCCCAGUGGGGAAGUGCUGCUGGUCCUGCUUGCACAGUGCAGAACUGAUUGACUUGUCCAGGAAGGAAACACUUGAGGGAAAUGGGGGCAAGAUGUGGGGAGCAGUGUGGCAAGAGCAAGGCUGUGCUAGGAGUGGGUUUGUCCUAUAGGUGAAUCCAGAAGAGCUUGGGUUAUAGAGUGCUGAGACACUCUUCCCACAGUGGAGCUUGAAUUCUCUGCAAGCACGCCAUUAAAAUUCUCACAUUGCACUGAAAACUGCUACAGCUUAAAGCUUAACCUUCUGCAGCAAUUGUUAAUGGUCACAUUUUUCUCUUUGUUAGAAAAAAAAUAAAUAAAUGUACAAACUGCACAGCCUGUGUCAAUCCUCAAACAUGCCAGCUCAGGGCUGAGAACGAGAUAGGCAGAAGAAUGCUGCUCAGAGAAGGGUCUGGCCCUUCUGCUGCACAACUUUCCCAUGCAGAGAAAUGAAAUGUGGACCCCGGCACCUCGGUGUCUGGCUCCGGCUCUAAAGUGGUUUCCACUGGUUAUAGAACAUGCUGACAGGCUCUUCAGAUAAGUAGGGCAAGGCAAGGGCACUCAGACUCUUGGCAGCAGGGCCAUGGGUGUCCUGCUUGCGUGGCUUCAGGAGGGCCUUUUGAACCCCGCAUUCAGCAUCUGGGAACGGUUCCUGUUCUUAAGGCAUCUGACCCACAAACCCCUUUGGUAAUUUAAAGCUCAUUAAAAUCUGCAAUCAGUAGUGCAGGACACUUGGAAGCCCACAGCUCCAUUACUGUAAAUGUAAAAAGAAUGGGAGUGCGGUCACUGUUGGAUCUGAGCUGACUUCCACGUCUGCUCCCCGUUUUAAAAGGGUUUGGGGCUGUCUGUCCACGCUGUGCUUCCACAUUGUCACCUGAAUUAAGUCACACGCAGGGACCGGACCGUCACUUGGGUUCAUGGAACUGCUGCUCUUCAUCCCUCUGAAGGACAUUAUCCCUCUGAACGAUAGCAUUUCGAUGGGACGUGGAGCUGUCACGUGCUGAUGGCUUUGGAAGCAGAUGCAGGUUUGUGUCUGAGUGAUACCUGUCUGCAUCCCAAGGCCCUGGCCGGGCCAUGGCCACAGUGGGGCUCUGUGUGUGACUCUGGGGCAGGAGCUGCUCCUUGGGAUGGUUUCUGCAUCCACUCAGGACACGGCUCUGCUGCGGUGGCUCAGCCGGGUCCCCUCCUGCACAGACACCCCGGGCUGCGGGACGUCCCCACAGAGCAGCAAAGAGGCUGUCAGAGGGUAUGACUUCCAUCCUUGUAAUGUUGCUGAAAUAGAAGUAGAGGCUCUUUCACACACACAAAUUAUGCUGUAGCGUAAACAUAGCCUGGAGGAAUCUGCUCGGAUUUCAAAGCUGCAUGGCACAGUCCAUCAGCCUCACACACACACUCUCUUUUAAUGACAGUGCAGAGAAGCCUUCUGCCUAACAUGAAUCAGAGUCCAUAGCCCUGGUGCUGUGCUGCCUCUUCUCCAAGCAAUGUCCCUGUGCUCAGCCUGAACCAGGGGCAGAGAGCAGAGCACAGAGCAAAAUGCCCCUGUCCCAAUGUUGGUCGGGGGAGAAUUGGGUGCUCAGCUGCAUGACCUGUGCCUGGAGAGGUGGUGAUGCCCCAUCCCUGGAGACUUUCAAGGCUGGGCUGGACCAGGCUCUGGGCUACCUGAUGGAGCUAUGCCUGUCCCUGUACGUGGCAGGGGAUUUGGACCAGAUACCUUUAAAGUCCCUUCCAACUCCAAGGAUUCUAUGAUUCUGUGGGCGCUGGGACAGAGCAUUCACUGCAACAUUGCCAACAGAGCCCCGCACCACCCAGCUCCGCUUAAAAGUUUAUUACACCCCACGGCUGCCAUAACAGACAGCAGGGCCCGCAGGCUUGGAAGGCUCUUCUAUUUUCACAUGGGCUUUGCACACUGUUAGAGUGGGUCUCCACGCAGCUCCAUUUGCCCUCUGUUCAGGAUGGAAGUUCCAAAUUUCCCCAGCGUGAGACGAAGAGGUGUUAAUGAGAGAAGGGCAGAGGCACGAUGGCAGCCAGCCCCAUCUGCUCCUCGUGAAGAACACAGUGUUGGUGGGGAAGUGGUUGGACUGGUUUCUGUGGCUGAAAAAAGGCCCUAAGAAGAGCUGGAAAUGUUUUUGUAGAGCAAAUGUCAACAGUGCAGGACUCUCCCCUGUCGCUUUCAGCAGAGACCCGAAGCGAAGCCAUGUGGAGGCACGUAGGGCAGAACUCAAAGCAGCCUAUGAGAAUUACACUCAUAUCAAGGAAAUGUCAUUAUCUGUGUUUUAACAUCUUAUCUCCAGUGUGAUUUUCCCAAACAAACAGCAGUCUGGAAGCAGCCAGUGGAUGGAUGAUCCUUCCCAUCUCCGGUAGCUCCAUAGAACAGCACCGCCUGGGGCUGGGAAUGGGGCAGGAGGGUUCCCCAGGGCUGUGCUGCACACGGGGCACCUCCUCCUGCCGAGCCCCAGGGAGCAGCAAUCACUGCACAGCCAUGGGCUGAGGCUCCCGUGUGCGUUCCCAAUACAAUAACACAUCUCAGCUCAUAAGAGAGGAAUGGUGUGCGAGUAAGUGCUUGUGAAACUGUGGAGGAAUUUGGGGAAAAACACUGUUUUUUUAGCAUUCCUUUUUCUUAACUUCAUGUUUCCCAACGGAGUAUUGGACUCUUUGUCCGCUCUGUUAUCUCAGCACACAUAAAGCCUGGAUCCUGGGUCAAGCGGUGACAGUCAUGCAGCAAGGGCGGGCUCUUGGACGCUCCAUUCUGAAAGCAGACCAAGAAAAGUCUGCAGAUUGAUACAUUUUUUUCUCUAUUUUUCACAUGCUAAAUCUGAAACAAACAUGUUCCUGCAGUAACACUGACCUAAC
ensembl:lncRNA